rnacentral:rRNA from 1 species
CCUACGGGAGGCAGCAGUGAGGAAUAUUGGUCAAUGGGCGUAAGCCUGAACCAGCCAAGUCGCGUGAGGGAUGAAGGUUCUAUGGAUCGUAAACCUCUUUUAUAAGGGAAUAAAGUGCGGGACGUGUCCCGUGUUGUAUGUACCUUAUGAAUAAGGAUCGGCUAACUCCGUGCCAGCAGCCGCGGUAAUACGGAGGAUCCGAGCGUUAUCCGGAUUUAUUGGGUUUAAAGGGUGCGUAGGCGGCCUUUUAAGUCAGCGGUGAAAGUCUGUGGCUCAACCAUAGGAUUGCCGUUGAAACUGGGAGACUUGAGUAUUUUUGAGGCAGGCGGAAUGCGUGGUGUAGCGGUGAAAUGCUUAGAUAUCACGCAGAACCCGGAUUGCGAAGGCAGCCUGCCAAGCCAUGACUGACGCUGAUGCACGAAGGCGUGGGGAUCAAACAGGAUUAGAUACCCGUGUAGUC